rnacentral:lncRNA from 1 species
UAACAAUACAACUUACUACUCAAGGGUCUAUAGUAUUUACAUUUUUUACAUGGCUUAUUGAGUGGACUUAAAUUCAAAUAUUAGUUUCUAAAUUGAUGAAGAUACUUGGAAACUUUGCCGUUUUAUUAUCGUCAUUGAGAAAUGUCUAAUUAUAAGUCUGUUUUAUCUAUUAUCAACCCUCCAGUUGUUUGCACAUAAAUGAGUAUUUUCCACAUGCUUAAAAUCUUGAUUUCGAUAAAGAGAUCUAGUUCCCUAGAUUUUUGUUUAUACUUUAAUUGUGACCUUUUUGUUCCCAGAGUAAAAUUAAAAAGAUAAACAGGGGAUCUGAGUUCUUGGUGAGUGACCAGCAGGCCCACUAGGAGGCUCCCCAUCUCUUCUAUCCUGGGAAGGUCUUACACACAAGGCUUCAGCCAAGCUCCCAAUAGUUUGAAGACAGACAGGAUCAGAAAACUGGGACGUUAGUCCAUAGA